rnacentral:rRNA from 1 species
UACGGAGGGUGCAAGCGUUAUCCGGAUUUACUGGGUUUAAAGGGUGCGUAGGUGGGUCUGUAAGUCAGUGGUGAAAUCUCCGGGCUUAACCCGGAAACUGCCAUUGAUACUAUAGGUCUUGAAUAUCCUGGAGGUGAGCGGAAUAUGUCAUGUAGCGGUGAAAUGCUUAGAUAUGACAUAGAACACCAAUUGCGAAGGCAGCUCACUACGGGAUUAUUGACACUUAGGCACGAAAGCGUGGGGAU